rnacentral:rRNA from 1 species
UUUCAGAGUUUGGACCUGGCUCAGGACGAACGCUGGCGGCGUGCCUAAUACAUGCAAGUCGAGCGGACCGACGGGAGCUUGCUCCCUUAGGUCAGCGGCGGACGGGUGAGUAACACGUGGGUAACCUGCCUGUAAGACUGGGAUAACUCCGGGAAACCGGGGCUAAUACCGGAUGCUUGAUUGAACCGCAUGGUUCAAUCAUAAAAGGUGGCUUUUAGCUACCACUUGCAGAUGGACCCGCGGCGCAUUAGCUAGUUGGUGAGGUAACGGCUCACCAAGGCGACGAUGCGUAGCCGACCUGAGAGGGUGAUCGGCCACACUGGGACUGAGACACGGCCCAGACUCCUACGGGAGGCAGCAGUAGGGAAUCUUCCGCAAUGGACGAAGUCUGACGGAGCACGCCGCGUGAGUGAUGAAGGUUUUCGGAUCGGAAAACUCUGUGAAAGGGAAGAACAAGUACCGUUCGAAUAGGGCGGCACCUUGACGGUACCUAACCAGAAAGCCACGGCUAACUACGUGCCAGCAGCCGCGGUCAUACGUAGGUGGCAAGCGUUGUCCGGAAUUAUUGGGCGUAAAGCGCGCGCAGGCGGUUUCUUAAGUCUGAUGUGAAAGCCCCCGGCUCAACCGGGGAGGGUCAUUGGAAACUGGGGAACUUGAGUGCAGAAGAGGAGAGUGGAAUUCCACGUCUAGCGGUGAAAUGCGUAGAGAUGUGGAGGAACACCAGUGGCGAAGGCGACUCUCUGGUCUGUAACUGACGCUGAGGCGCGAAAGCGUGGGGAGCGAACAGGAUUAGAUACCCUGGUAGUCCACGCCGUAAACGAUGAGUGCUAAGUGUUAGAGGGUUUCCGCCCUUUAGUGCUGCAGCAAACGCAUUAAGCACUCCGCCUGGGGAGUACGGUCGCAAGACUGAAACUCAAAGGAAUUGACGGGGGCCCGCACAAGCGGUGGAGCAUGUGGUUUAAUUCGAAGCAACGCGAAGAACCUUACCAGGUCUUGACAUCCUCUGACAACCCUAGAGAUAGGGCUUCCCCUUCGGGGGCAGAGUGACAGGGGUGCAUGGGUGUCGUCAGCU